rnacentral:rRNA from 1 species
UACGGAGGGUGCAAGCGUUGUCCGGAUUUAUUGGGUUUAAAGGGUGCGUAGGCGGUUCUUUAAGUCCGGGGUGAAAGCCCACUGCUCAACAGUGGAACUGCCCUGGAAACUGGAGGACUUGAGUACAGACGAGGGUGGCGGAAUGGAUGCUGUAGCGGUGAAAUGCAUAGAUAGCAUCCAGAACCCCGAUUGCGAAGGCAGCUGCCUAGACUGUAACUGACGCUGAGGCACGAAAGCGUGGGGAGCGAACAGG